UGGGGAAUAUUGCACAAUGGGCGAAAGCCUGAUGCAGCGACGCCGCGUGAGGGAUGACGGCCUUCGGGUUGUAAACCUCUUUCAGUAGGGACGAAGCGCAAGUGACGGUACCUGCAGAAGAAGCACCGGCUAACUACGUGCCAGCAGCCGCGGUAAUACGUAGGGUGCGAGCGUUGUCCGGAAUUACUGGGCGUAAAGAGCUCGUAGGCGGUUUGUCACGUCGUCUGUGAAAUCCUAGGGCUUAACCCUGGACGUGCAGGCGAUACGGGCUGACUUGAGUACUACAGGGGAAAAUGGAAGUUCUGGUGUAGCGGUGGAAUGCACAGAUAUCAGGAAGAACACCGAUGGCGAAGGCAGGUCUCUGGGUAGUAACUGACGCUGAGGAGCGAAAGCAUGGGUAGCGAACAGG
rnacentral:rRNA from 1 species